rfam:Oryza glumipatula chromosome 5, whole genome shotgun sequence.
AAUAAGUGCAGUCAUGAGUUUUCGCGUCCAAUUUUGAUCGUCCGUCUUAUUUAAAUUUUUUUUAUAAUUAGUAUUUUUUUGUUGCUAUAAGAUGAUGAAACACGAAUAGUACUUUACUCGUGACUUAUAUUUUUAAUUAUUUUUAAAAAAUUUUUAAAUAAGACAAAUGAUCAAAGUUGGGCGCGAAAAACCAUGGCUGCACUUAUU